rnacentral:rRNA from 1 species
GACGAACGCUGGCGGCGUGCUUAACACAUGCAAGUCGAACGGGCCUGUCUUCUUUUUUGGGGGUGGGUUGAGUGGCGAACGGGUGAGUAUCACGUGAGUAACCUGCCCUUCGGUCCUGGAUAACCGCUUGAAAGGGCGGCUAAUACGGGGUGGUCCGGUUGGUCCGCAUGGGCUGGUCGGGAUAGAUUCACUGUUUUUGGUGUUUCGGCGGGGGCUGGGGUCGCGGCCUAUCAGCUUGUUGGUGGGGUGAUGGCCUACCAAGGCGGUGACGGGUAGCCGGCCUGAGAGGGUGGGCGGCCAUACGGGGACUGAGGUACGGCCCAGACUCCUGCGGGAGGCAGCAGUGGGGGGUAUUGCACAAUGGGCGGAAGCCUGAUGCAGCGACGUCGCGUGAGGGAUGGAGGCCUUCGGGUUGUGAACCUCUGUUUCCGGUGGUGAAGGCCCUGUCCGUGUGGUGGGGUUGACGGUAGCCGGGGAUGAAGCGCCGGCUAACUACGUG